UUUCUCUCAAGGCUCAGAGCCAGAAGAGACUGCUCUCACAGGCUUGGUCUCAGGCGGGCAGAAGCGACCUCCUCCUACUUCCAUUCCCUCCCUCCGGUAUCUUUCACUCAGGACAUCACAAUCCAAGAAGUCUUGAUGACUCUGACAGAUGUCUGGUCUGACCAGAAGAGAAACUGGGAAUAAUCAUGCUUGCUACUUGCUACCUAUGCCAUUUUGAGAGGAAAGAGGGACAUCUGAGCCAGAAAUUACAGAACAGACGUGUCAGCAAAGCCAUAUUCCCUCCAAAAGCUCUGGAAAGAAUCCUUGCAGCUGCUAAGUAAAAAUCGGAGGCCAGUGUUGGGAUCAAGCCACACCAAGACUCAACAGAGAAGGCUGAAGUCCAACUGGAGUCUUUCGUGUCCAUGCUGAAGCUGUUGGACUAGCACUAAACUAGGAACCCCUGCUCACAUGGAUACUCUCGGGCCUGAGCGGAGACAUAACAUUCUGAUGGGGCAGUCAGUCGCCUGGACAUCAGGAGUUUGCAGAUGGGGGAUUUGGUGGCAAAGCAAGGGGUAUAUCCUUUCCCGUUCUUUCAGAUGCUGGCCAGAACUUAAAUGAACUAUUUCUGGUAUUUUGGGCUUUCUUACUUUCCCUAAAGCCUCUCUCUCUGCUCAUCCAUCAAGUGUCUGACCAUCUCUGAGUUGACUUCAACAGGGUGUUUCCCCCCUGCUCUCCUCCUCCAGGUAGCAGCUGGGAUUUACAGCUUGCCUGCUCUGAGGAAUUUUCUUUAAACACUAAUAAAA
rnacentral:lncRNA from 1 species